AACGAACGCUGGCGGCAUGCUUAACACAUGCAAGUCGAACGAGACCUUCGGGUCUAGUGGCGCACGGGUGCGUAACGCGUGGGAAUCUACCCUUUGCUACGGAAUAACUCAGAGAAAUUUGUGCUAAUACCGUAUGAUGUCGAAAGACCAAAGAUUUAUCGGCAAAGGACGAGCCCGCGUAGGAUUAGCUAGUUGGUGUGGUAAAGGCGCACCAAGGCGACGAUCCUUAGCUGGUCUGAGAGGAUGAUCAGCCACACUGGGACUGAGACACGGCCCAGACUCCUAGGGAGGCAGCAGUGGGGAAUAUUGGACAAUGGGCGAAAGCCUGGAUCCAGCAAUGCCGCGUGAGUGAUGAGGCCUUAGGUUGUAAGCUCUUUACCAGGGAUGAUAAUGACAGUACCUGGAGAAUAAGACUCCGGC
rnacentral:rRNA from 1 species